UACGUAGGGUGCAAGCGUUUGUCCGGAAUUAUUGGGCGUAAAGAGCUCGUAGGCGGUCUGUCGCGUCUGCGUGUGAAAACUCGGGGCUUAACUCCGGGCCUGCAGUGGGUACGGGCUGACUAGAGUGCGGUAGGGGAGACUGGAAUUCCUGGUGUAGCGGUGAAAUGCGCAGAUAUCAGGAGGAACACCGGUGGCGAAGGCGGGUCUCUGGGCCGUAACUGACGCUGAGGAGCGAAAGCGUGGGGAGCGAACAGG
rnacentral:rRNA from 1 species